rnacentral:rRNA from 1 species
AAAUGAAUAGACGGGGGCCCGCACAAGCAGUGGAGUAUGUGGUUUAAUUCGACGCAACGCGAAGAACCUUACCAGGGCUUGACAUAUAAGUGAAUAUACUAGAGAUAGUAUAGUCCUUCGGGACACUUAUACAGGUGGUGCAUGGUUGUCGUCAGCUCGUGUCGUGAGAUGUUGGGUUAAGUCCCGCAACGAGCGCAACCCCUGUCUUCAGUUGCCAGCAUGUAAUGAUGGGAACUCUGGAGAGACUGCCGGUGAUAAAUCGGAGGAAGGUGGGGACGACGUCAAAUCAUCAUGCCCUUUAUGUCCUGGGCUACACACGUACUACAAUGGCUAUAACAAAGAGAAGCGAAGCAGUGAUGUGGAGCAAAACUCAAAAAAGUAGUCUCAGUUCGGAUUGUAGGCUGAAAUUCGCCUACAUGAAGCUGGAAUUGCUAGUAAUGGCAGGUCAGCAUACUGCCGUGAAUACGUUCCCGGGCCUUGCACACACCGCCCGU